UACGAAGGGGGCUAGCGUUGUUCGGAAUCACUGGGCGUAAAGCGCACGUAGGCGGAUUUUUAAGUCAGGGGUGAAAUCCCGGGGCUCAACCUCGGAACUGCCUUUGAUACUGGAGAUCUUGAGUCCGGAAGAGGUAAGUGGAACUGCGAGUGUAGAGGUGAAAUCGUAGAUAUUCGCAAGAACACCAGUGGCGAAGGCGGCUUACUGGUCCGGAACUGACGCUGAGGUGCGAAAGCGUGGGGAGCAAACAGG
rnacentral:rRNA from 1 species